UACGUAGGUGGCAAGCGUUGUCCGGAUUUACUGGGCGUAAAGAGCGCGCAGGCGGUCAAAUAAGUCGAAUGUGAAAGCCCCCGGCUCAACUGGGGAGGGUCAUUCGAUACUGUUCGACUCGAAGGCAGGAGAGGGAAGCGGAAUUCCCGGUGUAGUGGUGAAAUGCGUAGAUAUCGGGAGGAACACCAGUGGCGAAGGCGGUUCUCUGGGCCUGUACUGACGCUGAGGAGCGAAAGCGUGGGGAGCGAACAGG
rnacentral:rRNA from 1 species